AGAACAUUUCGUGAAUAUAUUUCACAUUUUUGGUGGUUCAUUUUUUUUGGUUUCACCAAAAAUGUGAAAUAUAUUCACGAAAUGUUCU
rnacentral:pre_miRNA from 1 species